rnacentral:rRNA from 1 species
UACGUAGGGGGCAAGCGUUGUCCGGAUUUAUUGGGCGUAAAGAGCGUGUAGGCGGCUUUACAGGUCCGUUGUGAAAACUCGAGGCUCAACCUCGAGACGCCGGUGGAAACCGUAAGGCUAGAGUCCGGAAGAGGAGAGUGGAAUUCCUGGUGUAGCGGUGAAAUGCGCAGAUAUCAGGAAGAACACCCGUGGCGAAGGCGGCUCUCUGGGACGGUACUGACGCUGAGACGAGAAAGCGUGGGGAGCGAACAGG